rnacentral:rRNA from 1 species
UCAGAAACUCAAAGGAAGUUGACGGGGCCCGCACAAGCGUGGAGUAUGUGGUUUAAUUCGAUGCAACGCGAAGAACCGUUACCUGGUCUUGACAUCCCGGAGACCCUUAGGAAACUAGGGGGUGCUUCCAUCUGGAAGAAUCUGGAGACAGGUGCUGCAUGGCUGUCGUCAGCUCGUGUCGUGAGAUGUUGGGUUAAGUCCCGCAACGAGCGCAACCCUUGCCUUUAGUUGCCAGCAGUUCGGCUGGGCACUCUAAAGGGACUGCCGGUGUUAAACCGGAGGAAGGUGGGGAUGACGUCAAGUCCUCAUGGCCUUUAUGACCAGGGCUACACACGUACUACAAUGGCCGAUACAAAGGGCAGCGACACUGCGAGGUGAAGCCAAUCCCGUAAAAUCGGUCUCAGUCCGGAUUGGAGUCUGCAACUCGACUCCAUGAAGUUGGAAUCGCUAGUAAUCGUGGAUCAGCAUGCCACGGUGAAUACGUUCCCGGGCCUU